GUUAUCGCAUACAUGAAAUAACAUCUUAAGAUAUUGCUGAAAUGAACCACAACACAGUUGUGUACAACUUUGCAUUUUAAUGUUAUGCUUCCAUUAUUCUGGUGAUAAAGGUAACACACUUUAACACACCUUCAAGUCAGUCCACUUAUUUUAGCACUGCUUAAAUGAAUAGCACUUGAAUAUGACAUUACUGAGGGCCCCGCCCUGUGAGCAAGCAUCUUUUUUAUUAAAUCAGGUUACAAAACUAAAAUAAAGUCGCAACACAUACAUGUGGUCAAAUUGCGAAACCUGACCUGUCGAUGCAACACAGGAAUCGAGACUAAAAUGUACUUGUCCAAAGGCAUGCAAAUACUAGAGCAAAGGUUACGCAAUCUUCAUCACACCUAUAAUCCUCAUCAUCAUCAUGCCAACACGCCUUCUCUGCUCUGGGAUGUACUUUCUGUAG